rnacentral:misc_RNA from 1 species
GAUGAAGAACGUAGCGAAAUGCGAUAAGUAAUGUGAAUUGCAGAAUUCAGUGAAUCAUCGAAUCUUUGAACGCACAUUGCGCCCCCUGGUAUUCCGGGGGGCAUGCCUGUCCGAGCGUCAUUACAACCCUCAAGCUCAGCUUGGUGUUGGGCCCCGCCGCCCCGGCGGGCCCUAAAGUCAGUGGCGGUGCCGUCCGGCUCCGAGCGUAGUAAUUCUUCUCGCUCUGGAGGUCCGGUCGUGUGCUCGCCAGCUACCCCCAAUUUUUUUCAGGUUGACCUCGGAUCAGGUAGGGAUACCCGCUGAACUUAAGCAUAUCAAUAAGCGGAGGA